rnacentral:rRNA from 1 species
UCGAACGGUUAAAGCACUUUCGGGUGUGUAUAGAGUGGCGAACGGCUGAGUAACACGUGGGCAACCUGCCCUUUGCAUCGGGACAGCCUCGGGAAACCGUGGUUAAUACCGGAUACUCCAUCUUUCUCACAUGAAAAAGAUGGGAAAGUGUUUAGCGGCAAGGGAUGGGCCCGCGCCCUGUUAGCUUGUUGGUGGGGUAAAAGCCUACCAAGGCAAUGAUGGGUAGCCGGGUUGAGAGACCGACCGGCCAGAUUGGGACUGAGACACGGCCCAGACUCCUACGGGAGGCAGCAGUGGGGAAUCUUGCACAAUGGGCGAAAGCCUGAUGCAGCGACGCCGCGUGCGGGAUGAAGGCCUUCGGGUUGUAAACCGCUUUCAGCAGGGACGAGGCGAAAGUGACGGUACCUGCAGAAGAAGCCCCGGCUAACUACGUGCCAGCAGCCGCGGUAAUACGUAGGGGGCAAGCGUUAUCCGGAUUCAUUGGGCGUAAAGCGCGCGUAGGCUGCCCAGUAGGUCGAGAGUUAAAUCCGGGGGCUCAACCCCCGUCCGCUCCCAAUACCGCUGGGCUUCGAGUCUGGUAGGGGAAGGUGGAAUUCCCAGUGUAGCGGUGGAAUGCGCAGAUAUUGGGAAGAACACCGGUGGCGAAGGCGGCCUUCUGGGCCAUGACUGACGCUGAGGCGCGAAAGCUAGGGGAGCGAACAGGAUU